rnacentral:rRNA from 1 species
AUUGAACGCUGGCGGCAUGCCUUACACAUGCAAGUCGAACGGCAGCACGGGAGCAAUCCUGGUGGCGAGUGGCGAACGGGUGAGUAAUGUAUCGGAACGUGCCCAGUCGUGGGGGAUAACGUAGCGAAAGCUACACUAAUACCGCAUACGAUCUAUGGAUGAAAGCGGGGGAUCGCAAGACCUCGCGCGAUUGGAGCGGCCGAUAUCAGAUUAGGUAGUUGGUGGGGUAAAGGCUCACCAAGCCGACGAUCUGUAGCUGGGCUGAGGGGACGACCAGCCACCCUGGGACUGGGACACGGCCCAGACUCCUACGGGAGGCAGCAGUGGGGAAUUUUGGACAAUGGGCGCAAGCCUGAUCCAGCAAUGCCGCGUGCAGGAUGAAGGCCUUCGGGUUGUAAACUGCUUUUGUACGGAACGAAACGGUGAGCUCUAAUACAGUUUGCUAAUGACGGUACCGUAAGAAUAAGCACCGGCUAACUACGUGCCAGCAGCCGCCGUAA